GGCAUGCAAGUCGAACGAGGGCCCUCUUCGGAGGUGUCCUUAGUGGCGCACGGGUGAGUAACGCGUGGGAAUCUACCUUAGAGUGGGGAAUAACGUCUGGAAACGGACGCUAAUACCGCAUAAUCCCUUAGGAGGAAAGAUUGGCCGCUUUUGGACGGCCCCGCGUCUGAUUAGCUAGUUGGUGAGGUAAUGGCUCACCAAGGCGACGAUCAGUAGCUGGUCUGAGAGGAUGAUCAGCCACACUGGAACUGAGACACGGUCCAGACUCCUACGGGAGGCAGCAGUGGGGAAUAUUGGACAAUGGGCGCAAGCCUGAUCCAGCCAUGCCGCGUGAGUGAAGAAGGCCCUAGGGUUGUAAAGCUCUUUCAACGGUGAAGAUGAUGACGGUAGCCGUAGAAGAAGCCCCGGCUAACUCCGUGCCAGCAGCCGCGGUAAUACGGAGGGGGCAAGCGUUGUUCGGAAUUACUGGGCGUAAAGAGCAUGUAGGCGGCGUCGUAAGUUAGAGGUGAAAGGCCUGGGCUCAACCCAGGAACUGCCUUUAUUACUGCGGAAUCUAGAGUUCGAGAGAGGGUGGUGGAACUGCCAGUGUAGAGGUGAAAUUCGUAGAUAUUGGCAAGAACACCAGUGGCGAAGUCGGCCACCUGGCUCGAUACUGACGCUGAGGCGCGAAAGCGUGGGGAGCAAACAGGAUUAGAUACCCUGGUAGUCCACGCCGUAAACGAUGUGUGCUAGAUGUCGGGCAGCAUGCUGUUCGGUGUCGCAGCUAACGCGUUAAGCACACCGCCUGGGGAGUACGGUCGCAAGAUUAAAACUCAAAGGAAUUGGCGGGGGCCCGCACAAGCGGUGGAGCAUGUGGUUUAAUUUGAAGCAACGCGCAGAACCUUACCAGCCCUUGACAUGGGUAUCGCGGAUUUGGGAGACCAUUUCCUUCAGUUCGGCUGGAUACCACACAGGUGCUGCAUGGCUGUCGUCAGCUCGUGUCGUGAGAUGUUGGGUUAAGUCCCGCAACGAGCGCAACCCUCACCCUUAGUUGCCAUCAUUCAGUUGGGCACUCUAAGGGAACUGCCGGUGACAAGCCGGAGGAAGGUGGGGAUGACGUCAAGUCCUCAUGGCCCUUACGGGCUGGGCUACACACGUGCUAUAAUGGCGGUGGACAGUGGGCCGCGACCCUGCGAGGGGAAGCGAAUCUCUAAAAGCCGUCUCAGUUCGGAUUGUUCUCUGCAACUCGAGAGCAUGAAGUUGGAAUCGCUAGUAAUCGUGGAUCAGCAUGCCACGGUGAAUACGUUCCCGGGCCUUGUACACACCGCCCGUCAAUGU
rnacentral:rRNA from 1 species